rnacentral:ncRNA from 1 species
UUCAAACCUAUGAGAAAGAAGAGUAGGCUUUUGAUUACUAUCACAGAGAGCAGCCGACUGGUGGAACGGCAGCAUAGGAGCAAUCGCUGAAUGGGCUUUCGAGGACGGUCCGAACAACAGUAGGCACCGGCGGGAUUCGCACCCGUUAUCAUGGCGACAGAUAUGAUAGUGUCUGGAGGAGAGGAUGCAGAAAGCAUCGAAAUUGAGUGGCACCGCGUUAAUGAUUAUUACCGCCUCAAGU